GGGGCUGUAGCGCAGCGGUCGACGCGCCGCCUGCUCGGCGGAGGACGCCGGUUCGAAUCCGGCCGGCUCCG
rnacentral:tRNA from 1 species